rnacentral:lncRNA from 10 species
UGUGACUGUAAGCUGUCCCUAGAUGAGCUGACAGACCCUGGCUGAGCAGGAAGUGGCAGGGUCAGGAAAAGCUAGGCCACAAGUUUUCCCUUGAGAGCCUUAGAGACUGCAUCUCACCAUGUUGCUCAGGCUGUUCUCGAACUCCUGGGCUCAAGCAAUCCUCCUACCUCAGCCUCUCAAAGUGUUGGGAUUAUAGAUGUGAGCCACUGUACCCGGCCCUGGUUGCAUUCUUCAUUAUUAGGAACAUAAGAGUCUAGCCCUGUCGCCCAGGCUGGAGUGCCAUGGUUUGAACUCUACUCACCGCAACCUCCACCUCCCAGGUUCAAAUGAUUCUCCUGCCUCAGCCUCCUGAAUAUCUGGGAUUACAGGUGCCUGCCACUACACUCAGCUAAUUUUUGUAUUUUUAGUAGAGACAGGGUUUCACCAUGGUGGCCAGGCUGGUCUUGAACUCCUGACCUUGUGAUCUGCCCAUCUCGUGCUGGUAUUACAGGCGUGAGCCACUGCGCCCAGCCUAAAAUAAUUUUCAGUGAGUUAUAAGAAAACAGCUGCAUUCUGUUCUGUUUUUAGGCCUGGCCAGAGAAUACCAGGAGACUGUAAGAUGUCAUGGUACAUCAAGUCAGUCUCAAGUGUCCUAUAACCCUGGCUUGCCAUCAGCUUAGAAUGUUCUCUUUUUCUACUGACCUGCCUUCCAUCUGUGGUCUCUUCCUUCCGUCUGCUAUUUAUCAUGUACUUAUUGAUGUGUGUCCCAGAAUGUUCAGAAUCAUCUGAUUUAAAAGAUUCUGUCCCAUUUUCAGUAAAAGUAGCCCAAUAUUUUGUUGAGAAAACACAGUGACUGUGCAUAUACCUACCUACUCAUUAAGGUAUCACUUGUUGGUCACCUAGAGUAUAAAUUCAUGGCGUGGAUAUGACCUUGGUAUGAGCCUGUUCUAUACUGAUUUUGUCCCUCAUUGGGGAAAGACACUAGGAGGAUGUGUGUAUAGUGAAUAGAGGUACAGAUUGGGCACAGGCAGACUCUUUCUUGAAUCUAUUUCAUCAAUUAGUGGAUUUUUUUUCUCCUAGCCAAGUUAUUUAGCCUCUUCCUAUAUGAAAUACUCCUUCUUUUCAUCUGUUUUUGUUUUUAAAUGAGAUGACAAUUCAUGACUAGUCUUGGUCCCCUUAACACUUAGUGAGUGCUCAACAAAUGGUAGGAAUUAUUAUGGAUAACAAUAAUUAGUGUAAGUUCAAUAUGUAAAUAAAACUGCCUUUUGUUCACUAUCACAUCGCUUGUCUCAUCGGGUCUCAUCAUGAAAUAUUGGUCAUCAUUACUAUGAGAUCCAUCUAUGGUUAAUAUUACUAGUGUGACCCUAAAAUAGGAUUCAUCAACUAGGUAUGAUCAUCCGUCUAUUCUUUCCUUAAAUACAUUGAGCAAAAUCUUCAGGGGCAGCUGUAUUUUUUAACUGCACAUGCUACAGGGAUUCUGAAGUGAAACAUGGUGAAGAACCACCCAAUCAGACAUUUGAAUGGGGACUGACAGUCUUAAGUCUAAAGAAAUUUCCUCUUCCUUCAUAGUAAUUAGCAAGAAACUUCUACAAAAGUUACAAUGCCAAUUACUGGAAACGCGCAUAUCAGGAGUUCCAUGGAGGACCAUUUCCAAGCAGUAGACAUCAUGCAUCAAUCUGCUUUUUGAAAUCCAGACUGAUUUUCCAAAUCAUUUUUAAAUAAGAGGCCUCAAGCCGUAUGUAAGAAACAAGAAAAUUUGUGCCUUAAGAGCAACUAUCAACUUAAAUCAAAGAGGGGUAAGAGGUAAGCUCAGGGGAUAGAGAAGAUUAACCUAACAACAAAUAGCCUUUGCUUACUUCUGAGAUACCUAGCAAAUGCUGCCUUUUUGAAUUUUGUGCAAUUAGUUUAGUACUUCAAUUACCUAGAUAUUUUUAAGUUAAACAAGCUCUUGAGUGAUUUUUUCAUCAAUUUACAUUGAGUUAUAACAAAUGUAGGAAUAUUUGUAUUUAAAAUGCACAAGAAAAUGCAAAACAUAUCUCUAAUUUGACCACUAAAAGGCCAGUUUCUGAUGAUAACUUUUUGCCAUAUCUUAUUAACUGUAAUGUAUCUUUAAGGAUGACACAUGGAAUAGUUCCAAUGUAUAACAGAAAGGAAAUCUGAUAUUAUACUUAAGUGCAUUCUGUACUCUGUGGGGAAAGAUGCAGAAUAUAUUACAAAGAACAAUGAAGACAUGUUUCAAAAGUAAGCAUUAAUUUAUUCAUUCAUUCAUUUAUUCCCUCACACUCUUAUUCAACAAACAUUUAUUGAAAAUCCUCCCAUGCGCAAGGUGGGUGUUCUAUCUAAAUUCUAUGAAGAACAAGACAGACAAGGUCCGUCUUCUCACAGAGCUUACAUUUUAGUGAGGUAAAGUUGUCAAUAAGUAUGCAAAUUAAAAAAAUGACAGGCUCAACUAAUGCCUCCAAAAGCAACUAUUUUUAAAGCAAAAUCUGAUUGUGUUCAAGUCUAGCAAAGAGUCACAAAAAUAUAUUUUUAGAAAUGAAGAUUGUUGACAUGGUAAGGUUAUUCAUUCUUUCUAUUUUUAUAAAUAAAUCAAUUAACCCUAUUUUAUUUUAAAAAGUCAUGCAAGGUCAAAAACGUUGGGAUGAUUGGUAUUAAACUCUGGUGGAAGAAGCUCCCUGAAUGCCUCCCUGACAUCAGUCAUACAGGUCAGGAAGCAAACACCUUUCCUCUUGUUUCCUAACUGCCCUUUUUACCCAUUUCAUAGCACACACUUACUCCGGUCACCAAACUGGUUACCAUCCUCCUGUGUUCUGUUUUUGUAAGAGGGCAUUUAUUUGGCCCUAGUUACCCAAGAAAAGGCAAUUAGUCUUGACAACUGCUGCAAAGAGAAAAGACGAGAUGAUGGAAACAUUCAACACUUAAAAAUCCUUAGAUUUCAAGCAUUGGGGUUUCUGCCCCUAUAGAUUUCUGGGAGUUUGGGACAAUUAAAAUAUAUCUUUUAUUUUUUUAAAAAAAUAUAUAUAAAUGAAUGCUAAAACAACUCUUAAAAGGAAAUUGCUUUAUAUAGUCUGGCUAUGAUCAGCAAAACUGGUAUUCAUAUUUACAUUUGUUUAUUAUAUCAGUGAGGUUUGAGAAUCAUUUAAAAGAAUUGUGUUCUAAUUCAACCUAAAUUCCCUUCCUGUUAAUCUGAGCCAAAUGUCCCAAACACAGACAUGGCAGUUUUUAAAUCUCUGAAAACUAUUUAAAAACUAAUAUUAAAAAUAUAGUUUUAAAAUAUAUUGCAUAUACCUGUAUACUUAGGUAUGAAGAAAUUUCCUCUUCCUUCAUGGUAAUUAGCAAGAAACUUCUAUAAAAGUUACAAUGCCAAUUAUUAGAAACAUGCAUAUCAGGUGUCCCACGUAGGACUAUUUCCAAGCAGUAGAGAUUAUGCAUCAAUCUGCUUUUUGAAAUCCAGACUGAUUUUCCAAAACACUUUUAAAUAAGAGGCCUCAAGCCAUAUAUAAGAAACAAGAAAAGUUGUGUAUAUUUGUAUACAGGUAUAUACGAGUGCCCGUAUAUGCAAGCUGAGGUGGAGAAAUUGAAGACACAGAUUAUGUAAGCCAUUAACUCUUUAGGGGAGCAAGCUCUGAUGUUCCCACUUGAAGACGGGAGAGGGGAGUCCUCUCAUGCUUGCGUCUCACUGUAACUUUUAUGCUUUUGUCUGUGGGUGUGUUUGUUCAGUGCUUAGACUGAACAACAGUGACCUCUUUGAAACAAGAGGAUAUACAGUUCACGUGCCACAUAAUGACUUUCAGUCAAUGACAGACUGCAUAUAUAAAAAGCACAUUCUAAUAGGACCUUUGAUAAUCGUUUUGUCUUCUUGACUAUCAUCUUCUCUAGGAGAAAGUCUUCCCUGAUACUCUGCCCCCUGCCUCCACACAUACACAUACACAAACACUCAGAUAUAUCUCUACCACACAUACUCCUGGCUAGGCUAAGUGCACCCUUUUCUUUUUCUUUUUCUUUUUCUUUUUCUUUUUCUGAGACAAGGCCUUGCUCUGUUGCCUAGUCUGGAGUGAAGUGGCCUGAUCAUAGCUUACUGCAGCCUCCAACUUCUGGGCUCAGGCGAUCCUCCCACCUCAAUUUCCCAAGUAAUUGGGACUACAGGCAUGCACAAACAUGGCUGGCUAAUUAUUUUUAUUAUUAUUAUAAGUAGAGAUGGGGUCUCACUAUGGUGCCCAGGUCGAUCUCAAAGUCCUGGGCUCAAGCAACCCUCAUGCCUUGGCCUCUCAAAGUGCUAGGAUUACAGGCAUGAGCUAUCAUGUCCAGCCUAGCUACCCCUUUUCUAUACUUUCCUAGCAUCAUGUGUGGGUCUUUCUCAUACUAUCUACAGCACACUGUGAUUGUGUAUUUACCCAUAUUUCUCCCAAAUGACUAUAAACACCUCAAGGGAAAGGAUUAUAGCUUAUUCAUAUUUGAAUCCUUAGUAUUUAUGACAAUGCUUGGCUCAUAAUAAGCUCUCAAGAGAUAUUCAUUCCAUUGAAUUGAAAUGACUUCCACUUGGGUUUCACAGUAGAAUACUCAUUACUCAUCAGACUUACUCAGGGGACAAGUCUCUGGCCUCAUUUUCAUUUGCAUCUUGGCCAUGAUUUUGCCUACUGUCAAUCACCAUGAAGUACAGAAAAGCAAACUGAGCUAUGGUGAGCCAAAUUAACUGGACCUAAGAUGACCUCAUCAGCAAAGCGCCCUAAGCAAUCAAGCAAUCGGGUCAGCUAGUUGCAGCCUAUAGUUAUCGUGGAAAACUGGUUGCUACUUUGAUCUCAGCUCACCUUGCCAAAUACUCCUUUUGUUUGAAAGAUAGUCAUAACAAGUACAAAACAACACUGAGUGAAUAUUUUUAAUAUUAUAAGCACCUAGAUAAAUUUAAUUUCUAUUUCCAUUAAUGAUCUGAAUAACCUAAAUUCUUCUAAUACCUAUAUUUGUCCAAUUUUAAGGUAUUCUGACUUAGGCAGAAAUUGGGCAAUUAUCUGAUUAAUUCAGGCCAAUAUUUUUAACACUGGAUUUCUGCAUCACAAGAAUUGUUAAUUUAUUCUUAUAUCCUCAUUCCUGGUACACAAUGGGUGCUCAGAAGUAGCUAGGAUUUACUGAGAGCUUACUAUAUGCUAAACUGUACAACAAUGUGUUAUCUUACAUUAAGUCUCACAAAAAUUAAAACUCUCAAAAAACUUCGCACUAAUUGUUUGAGAUAGAUGAGAUUACAAUCUGAGUCUUAAGAAGGUUAAGUAACCCACCCAAGGUCGAAUUAAGAACUUGAGCUAUCUUUUUAAUCACUACUCUAUAUAGACAUUUGUUGAAUAAAUGGUCAGAUGCAUUUUGAUCAAGCCUAUGCUUAUUUGAAAUAUCACAUGCUUUUUUGAACUUUAUAGAUAUAUAUUAACCAUUUGGAAAAAUGUAAGAACAAAAUCUCAUGGAAAAUGUAAAUUUCAAUCUUGCAAACUAAACAUUCGAUUUAUACACUUUCAGGAUUUACUCUGUUGUGUGAAUAUGCGUACUUUAGAAUAAAACUGGUAUCAUACUAUACAAUGAAUAUCAAGUUUUAAUUCAAUAAUGUUUAAUGAAUAAUUCCCUAUGUCAUUAAUAAUCCUCUUAUGAGUAUUAUUUUAAAAGAUACAUUAUUUUACUUCAAGAAAAUUUUAUGAUUUGUAUAAUAGAACUAUAGCUUUUGGACAUUUUGGCUACUUAUAACUUUUAGUGCUUUGAUAAUAUCAUUACAAACAUCAUUACACAUAUAUUUUAUAAUUUUUAAGAAACAAAUAUGUUCUUAAAUUUGUUUUUUAAGGAAAAUUAUUAUUGGUUGAAUGAUUACAUCAAAGGGAAAUGGAUUAUUUUCAUAUGUAAUUUCAUGCUACCUCCAACAAAGGUUUUAUCCUGAUUAUAUUGUAGACCUGAAUUCAUUUAAAUUUAUGCUGAUUUUUUUAACUUUAGAGACAUAUUGCUCAUAUUCAAGUACAUUUUAAUUCAUGUUAUAAGUAUAUGACAACAUAAACAUGUUUUGACAUCCUCUACUGAAUAUAUUCUUUUUACACCACUAAGCAUUUUUAAAAUUUAGUUUUUUAUAAAAAGGACAGAUAGGCAGGCAGGCAGAGAGAGACAGAGACAGAGAUGACAAGCAUAAACAAGGAAUUGUAGCUGUGGUCUAACAGAUUACACAUUUUUAAGCACCUAAAUUUAGAAAAUUAGGUGGUAUACUUUAUUAUUGAUCAUUUGGGGUCAAACUAGCUAAUCUGGCAACUUAAUUUUCCUAGGGAUUUAUUUGAUGUAAAAAUAUGGUCUGAUCGUUCUUCAGUGGUUCUUUCCUUUUAGGAGUCUUGCUCAUGAGAACCUGUCUUAAAACUUUUACUGCUUGAAAUAUGUAGAAAGUCCAAGGGUAAAGGAGAGUGGAAUUUGUUGUUGUUUACUAUGAAGAAUUAUCAUUGAGUCAGUUCACCUUUGGCUGGCAUCUGGGGAAAGUUUGCCUGCACGACAUGAUUAACAGCUAAAAUAUUCUUACGGCCUUUAUCUCAGCAGUCUAGAAGGUUCGAAUGAAAAGAACAUUAUCCAUAGAGGAAGUAGGAGGUAAACAUUCCUAACAAAAAUGGACACUCAAUAAAUACAUGUUAAAUAAAAGAAUAAACAAAUACGUUCAAGUCGAUUCUAGUUGUGCAGUGGUAACCCUUGUCGUAUUGGAACAGUAAUGCACAUGGACCAUGAGUCCUUGUAUUCUUCUUGAGCCAGCUUGGUGAACUUGGUCAAACCACUGACACUCAAUUGCUUCACUGGUAAAACAAAGCCAAUAGCAUCCGCUAUACUUAUCCAUUAGAUUUUUUAUCCAUUAGAUUUUUUAAUAUAUAUGAAUACAAUUUAUGAAAGUACUGUAUACUAUGUACUUAGUAUAUACUUAAUUAGUAUGAAAAUAAAGUAAAAAUACCAUAGAAAAUUAGAGGUUUAUGAAUUGCUAAUACAUGAGAUAUUUACUAGGGUGUAUAUUUACUAUGUCUUCUAAAAGUAUAAGUUUGGUAAGCAGAAAUCUCUUAGGGUUUAGCAUUUCUUUAACUGAUAGCAAAAAUUUUGAAUGUUAACUAUUUAAGUGUAUCUACAGUGACUUUCCUUUUCUUCAUGAUAUUGCCUUGUUUAUCCCUUUGAUUUAUCCUCAUGUCCCACUGAAGCAAGCUAUGCACCUUAAUGCCAUCUUGUUUAUGGGGACUAAUAAAAGAAAAUUGUCUGCAAUGGGAGAUCUGCUUUAUUUACAUGCAAAUUAAAACUAUAUUCCUUCGGUUACAGGCCAAAGAUUAUUAAUGCAUGAUGUGUAACAAUUUCAGGCAAAGGCAAUCAUCAGAUAUUAAGAAAGGGAUCAAGAAAUCGAGGAGGCAAAAGAACAGAAGAAGUAAAUACCUAUAGCUUGCCCAGAAGCCUAGGAAGAGAGAGAAUGCCGAAAGACUUCUAAUGUAUGGAGUUUAAACAUCAGAUGGUGAUUGAUUGCUAUUAAUUUAUGUCAGCAAAGGAGGAGAAGAAAUACGUAAAACUGCCUCUGAAGAAUUUACAUUAAACACCAAAAGAAUCUGACUCUGAAAAUGAAGAAACAAGGAAUAUUGUUUGUUUUGGGAAUCAAAAAAAAAAAAAACUUCCCAUUUGAGUACACAAUUUCCUAAACAAGAUACAUGAUAAUUCCAUACACUAUGCUUUCCGAAGAAACUUUGUAAAACGUAUUUUCAUUAUUCAAAACUUGAAAACACAGAAACAAUAUGAUGCAAAAAAUUAUCUUUAGCAUUAUUCCACUAAGAUAAUUCAUUUUAACAUCCAUAUAUUCAUUAUUAUGUAAAAUACCUAUCAGUAUGUGGGUAUAUCUUUGUGUGUAUAUUUUAACAAAACAAAAUUCAAUAAAAAUUGAAAUACAGAAAUGACAAAAACACACAAAAAAUAUAAAUUAUUUCCAUUGUAGCAUAUAUUACCUUUUUCACCUAACAUUAUACUGUAGGAAUAUAUUCUUUCAUCAUUCAAUGCUUUUGAAAAUAUAAUAAUAUUCCAUUUUAAGGACAUGCUAUAAUUUAGUUCAUUAGUUUUUAAACUUUUAGAUUAUCUCAUUUUGUCAUCAUUUAAAAAAAGUGUUCCUGGAUGUCCUUUUGCAUAGACUUUUGAAUGUAUUUCUGACUAUUUUCUUAACCUGUCCUGUACUUCUGCAAGUAGAACUGCUUGAGCAGAGAUUAGGAGCAAUUUUAAGGUUUUUCAAAAAUCUUGACAAACUAUUCUGCAGGAAAAAUGUAUCUUGUUACCAUCAGCAUUUUUAAGUAACUAGUGACUAAUUGUAAAAAUAAUUGUGUUUCCUUGUAUUUAAGCCUUGCGCUAUAGAUUUUAAAAAUUUGUCCUUUUUUUUUUUUCAUUUGUAAAAAAAAGCCAUCUAAAAGACCUUAGAACCUGGUAUCAGCUGAAGCUUACUAAACCAUAUCAAGAAGAUCAUGUCAUUCUCAAGAAAAGCAUGUUUCAAAUAAAAAGGAAAUGUCAGCCCUGAGCGUUUUUAUUAACCAUCUCCCCAUCUGACUUCAGAGACAGCUUUAGCUGACCACUUCCUCUCUCGGGUUUAUUUGUAUUAGAAAUAAGUGGAUUCAUUAACUGUGCCACUUGGUGGUCAGGCCAGGCCUGCCAGUGUCCAAUAACAGGUAAUGGUUGUAUUUUUCACGGGGUGACUGAUGUUUACUUUGUUGAUGGCCCCAGGAGCUCAUGUAAUCUGAGAUAGGUCUUUGUUUACUUCUUGUUUUACUGAUAUGCUGACCCAUUUGAAACUAGCGAGAAAGAAAAAUAAACAUUCUGGAAUAUGGUACCUGAAGUCACUCUUCCUUAGUGGCUUUAUUGUAACCUCUUCAAAGGCUUUUGUUAACCCACUCUUUUCCCAGCAAAAAACCCUGAUCUGGUCUCUUUUCCAAUUAAACCAAAAGCAAUAUCACACCAAAUAAGCAAACAGAAAAUAUUGAAAUUACCACUUAAAGAGAGUUUUAUCUGGGGUUUAAUUGUGUGUGUACUCAAGCGUUUAGUGUAGGUCAUUUGCUAAUGACAUCUAGUAAUUUUUAAAAACUGGAUAAAACUGAUACUGAGCCUGUCUACAGCAAUUUAACUAUUUUGGGGGAGUAUAAAGUUAGAUUUGUCUAUACUGACUUGUUUGCUCCAUUUUAAAAACUGUGUUGGAAUGAUUUAUUAUGGAUGAUCCAAAAUAAACGUGAAGUGAGGAAACUAUUUUUUAAUUACCACUGGUAGCAUAUUUAAUGGAAUUGUGUUAUUGUGCCAGAAACCUUAUUGAGCUAUAUUUGUUCUAUUAUCUUACUCAUCAGCACAGCAAAAGUUCAUAUUUCAAGGGUGAAGGAAGUGAGGCAUAGAGAGGUUAAAUAAUUCCCCAAAGGCAGAGGGCCGCCAAUUGGUGAAUGUCAGACAUAAUCCCACGCCUGCCUGAGGCCGGAGUCCAUAUUCUUAACAGACAUCCUCUUUUGUCUCCUUAUUUCAUGAUGCCAAAUAUGCAUGACGCUGAUAUAAAGCGUAUAUAUUGGAAUCUGUAUAUUCAAAUGAGCGAUGUCCAUUCAGUCAAACUGGAAGUAUGCCAAUUACCUUCCUAUAUUCAACACUUAGCUCAGAGAUGAUGAGGCACUUCACAGUUGUUUAAUUGCACUGAGCACCCACCCCACAAGCCCAUUUUACUUCUGUUCAAACCAGGUUUGCUAUUCUAAUUUUGGAAUUAUGUUCAUUUGCAAUCUGAGUCACAAGAGUAAAUAAACUUUAUCAGUAUAUCUUUAAAAUUAUGUAUACAUUUAUAAUGUAUUUAUGUAUAGAAAUAUAUAAACACAUUUAUAUAAACACACACAUAUCUCUAUAAAUCCACAUAUUUACACUUGACUACUAAAAAUUAGUUACAAUAUUUGUCUCUUCUAUGUGUUUUCAAAAGUUAUAUUUAAUCCCAAAGAAUUACCAUGAUGAUGUAUGACAGAUUCAAAAAGGAGAUUCAACAGAAUUUGAGGAAUUGUAACACAGUUAGAAAAACAUAGCCCCAAAGCAAACACUUUUAGGGAAUAUUCUUUAUAUUAAGUAUGAGUAUUAAAAAAUUUGAUUAGAAGUGUUUAUAUAUUACUUUAUACUUGUGUAUAUUACAUCCACACCCUGUAUACAUAAUAUAGUUAAUAUAUAUGUGUAUACAUCAUGUAUAUAGGCUGUGAAAGUAAUAUUAAUAUAUGAAUAAGUACAUAUGUACAUUUAAAAAUUGUAUGUACUCAAAAUGCAUAUUUUUUCAGAAGACUGACAAUUACAUUCUAGCACAAAACUUAUUCAAAACCUCUAGUCCAUAAGACAUGAGAAUCAGCAGGUUCCACUUGUGCCCCGUGGGUCUGUAGCCGAUUCAGGGUGGCAACUGCCACAUCUUCCCCUCCUGAUUUAUUUGCUUUCGGUCAGUUUGGCAGCUGCCCCCACAACAGCCUGAGAACGCAAUCUAUACUUCACAGAAAGGCAUUUGGAAUAGAAGAGGGUUUCUGAGGGCAUUUAAAAAAAUAAAUGAAAUAAAGAUGUUGCUAAAAGCUAUCCUCUCAGAUUCACAAGGCUGACAGGAAAACAAAGUUUCAACUUGCAAACAGCAUGAACUGGCCAAGUGGUUUGCUCUGUCAUGGACAGCAGCAAGGCUGGCAUGCAGUCUUGCUGUGCUCACACUAUUGGCCCUGUGAAAACUCAGGCCAGAUCUCCUGUCCAGACAAGAGCCUGGGUUAUUGGGAGAAAAAUCCAUUUUAACUAUUACAUUCAUUUUCAUUUUUCCAGGAAUACAAUCCAAAAUCGCAGGGAGCACUUGGAAACAAUUCUUGGCAACUGUAUUCAGUUGAAGAAACUCAGAAUAUGAAAGCAUUAACAUAGAGUGCAACCAAAACACAAAUAAGAAUCACCCAAGCUGGGCUACAAGAAUAGCUACUGUUUACUCUGAGUGGAUAUUUAUGAAGAGCCGUAGUAAGAAAGAUCUUUUUGAUGAUAACAGAGCGGUGUAUGGCAUGAUAUUAAUUCUGCCUCAUUAGUGAAAUGAAAAACUCUGAGAUAGGUGUGACAAAGAAAAUUAUCACUGUUUCUCAUUCAGUGUUAAUUUCGCUUCUUGAAUUAAAUUCUGCUCAUUCUCUUCGGUGCAUUUAAAAUUAUUCCUUUCUUUUGAUACAUAUAUAUAUCUAUAUCCUAUGGAAUACUACUCAGGCAUAAAAAUGAAUGAAAUCAUGUGUUUUGCAGCAGCAUGGAUGAAUCUGGAGGCCAUCAUCCUAAGUGAAAUAACUCAGAAACAUGUUCUCACUUAUAUCACAAAUAUCUCACUCACAAAUAUCACAUGUUCUCACUUAUAAGUGGGAGCUAAACAGUUAAUACACAUGGACAUAGAGAGUGGAAUAAUAGGCAUUGGAGAACUCCAAAAGAAGGAAAAGUGGGAGCAGGGGUGAGAAAUGAGAAAUUACUUCAUGGGUACAGUAUACAUAUUCAAGUGAUGGGUACACUAAAAGUGCAGAAUUCACCACAAUGCAAUAUAUCCAUGUAACAAAACUGCACUUGUACCCCCCAAAUCUAUACACAUGAAAAAAAAUUGUUCCUUUCCAAUAUCAGCAUGUAUUAGAAUCAGGAAUGGUUUAUACAUUAAACACUAUAAGCACAGCCCUUAUGGAAUGUGAGCCUUUUGAAGAUACAUUAUUUGGAUAGAGCUUGAAUUUUUUUUUUUAAAAAAGAACAAUAAUAGUAACAUGCAUUGAGUGUUUACUUUGUACCAGGUAUGCUAUGAGGGUUUUACAUCCAUUAACUCUCUUGAUCCCCACACCACCCUUUGGGCAAGGUACUUAAAUUAUCAUCAUAUGCAAAACUUGACAUGUAGAGAGAAUAAGGAACUCGCUCAAGGUUAGACUGAUAAUAAGUGACGGAGCUGAUCUUCUAACCCCUGGAGUUGACUUUGCCACCACACUGCCUUCUCACACAUGUUCAGAACUCUCAAUCUUUUCUCAACAGAAGAACCCCAAAGUCUGUUUUGUGUCUUUUUCUAUUCAAACACCCAGACAGAGGGAAGAGCAAAGGUCCUAUGGCCCAGGGAAGUCUGGCUUGAUGGAGAAAAUGAAAGCUGAUAGAUGUGGAUGAAAAAACAAACUGCGGUCAAACUAACAUGAAAAAAGGGCCAACUAGGUAGGACCUUACCGGGUAGGUCCAGAUUUUGAUCUUUAACCUUGGAACAAUGAGAAGCCCAUGAGGCAUUUAGCCAAUUAACGGUUUAUAAAGUUCACUUUGGAAGCAAUUAGAAAAUCAGCAUGAAAUGGAGGGGGCUGAGUGGAUAUCAGGAGAAGGCUGAGGCUAACUCAGCAGCCCAGGAAGAGAAGCAAGGUCUUAGAUUAAGGGACUGGUGAUGUGAGAGUGUUCAGUGAAGCUCAGGCAGCCUCCGCUUCUU